UACGUAGGGUGCAAGCGUUGCCCGGAUUUAUUGGGCGUAAAGGGCGCGUAGGCGGCUCGGCACGUCCGUUGUGAAAUCGCCCGGCUCAACUGGGCGGGGUCAGCGGAUACGGCCGAGCUUGAGCAAGCUAGGGGGCAAUGGAAUUCCCGGUGUAGUGGUGGAAUGCGUAGAUAUCGGGAGGAACACCAGUGGCGAAGGCGGCAUCCUGGACCAACACUGACACUGAGGAGCGAAAGCCAGGGGAGCAAACGGG
rnacentral:rRNA from 1 species